rnacentral:piRNA from 1 species
UUGAUGACAAAUAUAUGCAUAUGCGGUU